GGUUCCUAUUGGUCUACCCUGCGUUAUAAGUGUGUGGAGCGAUUGAAGUCUGUUGGGAAACACUCUCUCCUUGGUGCAAGUGGCGAAAUAAAUGAUUUCCAGGAGAUUUUAUGCAACCUUGACAAGCUCAUUUUGUAUGACAAUAUGUGGGAUGAUGGGAACUCACUAGGGCCUAAGGAAGUGCACAACUAUUUGACUAGGAUGAUGUACAAUCGUCACAAGAAGUUCAACCCACUAUGGAAUUAACUUGUACUUGGAGGAGUGAAAAAUGGUCAGAAGUAUCUUGGAACAGUAAUCCUGUUAAUAUGAUUGGUGUUCAUUUUGAAGACGAUCAUGUGGCAACUGGAUUUGGUCAGUGCAUUGGAGUAAACAUCCUUGUUGUCUCAAAGUAUUACUGAAGGAUUACCUUGGCGAGACUUACUGAGCUGCUUUGUCUCAUUGUUUAGGU